AGUGAACGCUGGCGGUAGGCCUAACACAUGCAAGUCGAACGGCAGCACAGUAAGAGCUUGCUCUUACGGUUGGCGAGUGGCGGACGGGUGAGGAAUACAUCGGAAUCUACUUUUUCGUGGGGAACAUCUUGGGAACCUUUCUCCUAUUCCCUAAUCUAUCUACCGGCGUAAUUAAGGGGUUCUUGGACCUUUUGCUGUUGAAUUGAGCGAUUUUCGGAUUAGCUAGUUGGCAGGGUAAAGGCCAACCAAGGCAACGAUCCGUAGCUGGUCUGAGAGGAUGAUCAGCCACACUGGAACUGAGACACGGUCCAGACUCCUACGGGAGGCAGCAGUGGGGAAUAUUGGGCAAUGGGCGAAAGCCUGAUCGAGCCAUGCCGCGUGAGUGAAGAAGGCCUUCGGGUUGUAAAGCCCUUUUGUUGGGAAAGAAAAGAAGCAGGUGAAAACCCCGAUGUUCUGACGGUACCCAAAGAAUAAGCACCGGCUAACUUCGUG
rnacentral:rRNA from 1 species